ACGCUGCUGAAGAAGCCCCUUUUCACCUGCAGGUCCCCGGGCAUCCAAAGCAAACCUUCCAGAGGGAGGGGAGGCGUGAAUGCAGCAGUGUUCUAGAACCUGCAUCCUCUUGGAACCUCUGCCUGCCAUCUGCAAAAUGAUGCUGCUAGCCCAUUUCUCAAGUCCUUGUGGGAUUCAAACAAGAUUCUCGUUUUACACAGGGAGAGGCCAGGAAGAAACUUUGACAAGGAAAUGGAAGACUAAAAGGAUUCAGUGACUCAUUCAAGGCCUCAGAACUGGGAUCAAGACCUGUGCUUGCAAGGAAGGCAGC